ACAGGUCUGUUAGCAGUCCGCUGCGUGACGCGUAACGUGGAUGUUUUUUCUUUGGUAGCGUUUAGGGCGCUGAACAACGCGUGUCACAUUGUUACCGAUUCACUCAGUCUGCGUUUUUAUUAAAUAUCUAAACUCAUCGAAGUGCUCAUUCCUGUCACUUCCUGGGCAGCCUGCAUCAUGAGUCGCCAUGACCAGAUCUCCAGAAGCUGAAGCAGUUUGUAGGCCGUCAGAGGGACAGAGGAUGAGUGAUGACGCUGACUGCAGGUCAGUGCUUCAGCUGCAUUGCUUCGUUUCGGCUGCAAGAAAAUCGACUAACAUCUAACUCGGUUCAACUGUGUCGUCCUGCUCCGUGGAAUCGAGCCCAAUGCUGCUGAAUGAAAUUAUGUGGCAUUGUCUCAGGGCUGGAUGUGACCUUGAGGAUAAAAGUCUGUAUCACCACAAGCAAUGAAAACACAACUGGAAAAGGGGGAAAAGCACAAACCACUGACACCGUCUGGAUAUUUUCACACACCCUGCCCUUGUUCUUUUAGAAACUGCUCAUUUCACCCAAGGCCAAUACACAAGUGGAGGGCUCCCUCUGCUGGCGACGACGACAACCUGCUCUCUAUGAAAAAGAUGAUAUGGAAAGAUGAGAUGUUCACUACAUAAUAGCCAUGCCGGGAAGAGGUAGACAGUGAAGUGGGUGUCACAGACUGCAGCUGCAGCUUCUGGCUCCUGAAGACGAGCUCUGCACUUUGGGUUGUUGUGAGAUGUCACACGAUUAAACUGCAUGUGGGAUUGUUGCACAAGUGGAUUAUGUGCUUUUUUGUGGAACUUCAUCAGACCUGUAGCAAAAACCGUCAGGACUGCUCCAGUGAAGUCUUAAAUUAAUGACUGAGUUUUAAGUGGUUUAUCCAUCUAUCCAUUUCUGCUGCUUAUCUGAGUCCAGGCCGCACUGAUUUAAAUGACUAUAUCAUUAGGAAUUGAUGUAACAUUAUGCUGGGAAGUACUGCAAAAAAAUGUGAUAUAGUCAAAUAAUUGUAAGCCAUCUUGUCCCUACUGGUUUUCCAACAUACCUUCAUACUUUGGUCGAAAUGAUUGUGAAACAGGUAUGAAAUAGGCCUAAAUUUAUACUUUUUAAUUUAUACUGGUGAACCUUGUAGAAACGGCUCUGUCCAGUACUCCA